UACAGAGGGGGCGAGCGUUGUUCGGAAUUACUGGGCGUAAAGGGCGCGUAGGCGGCCUGCUAAGUCGGACGUGAAAUCCCUCGGCUCAACCGAGGAACUGCGUCCGAUACUGGUUGGCUUGAAUUCGGGAGAGGGAUGCGGAAUUCCAGGUGUAGCGGUGAAAUGCGUAGAUAUCUGGAGGAACACCGGUGGCGAAGGCGGCAUCCUGGACCGAGAUUGACGCUGAUGCGCGAAAGCCAGGGGAGCAAACGGG
rnacentral:rRNA from 1 species